rnacentral:rRNA from 1 species
GACGAACCGUCCAAACGUUAUUCGGAAUCACUGGGCUUACAGAGUUCGUAGGCGGUCCCAAAAGUUAGGUGUGAAAUCCCUCGGCUCAACCGAGGAACUGCGCUUAAAACUGUGGGACUCGAGGGAGAUAGAGGAAAGCGGAACUGAUGGUGGAGCGGAGAAAUGCGUUGAUAUCAUCAGGAACACCGGUGGCGAAGGCGGCUUUCUGGGUCUUACCUGACGCUGAGGAACGAAAGCCAGGGGAGCGAACGGG